rnacentral:rRNA from 1 species
AACGAACGCUGGCGGCAGGCUUAACACAUGCAAGUCGAACGCAUCCUUCGGGGUGAGUGGCAGACGGGUGAGUAACGCGUGGGAACGUGCCCUUCAGUUCGGGAUAACCCAGGGAAACUUGGGCUAAUACCGGAUACGUGCGAGAGCAGGAAGAUUUAUCGCUGAAGGAUCGGCCCGCGUCUGAUUAGCUAGUUGGUGGGGUAAUGGCCCACCAAGGCGACGAUCAGUAGCUGGUCUGAGAGGAUGAUCAGCCACAUUGGGACUGAGACACGGCCCAAACUCCUACGGGAGGCAGCAGUGGGGAAUAUUGGACAAUGGGCGCAAGCCUGAUCCAGCAAUGCCGCGUGGGUGAAGAAGGUCUUCGGAUCGUAAAGCCCUUUCGACAGGGACGAUGAUGACGGUACCUGUAGAAGAAGCCCCGGCUAACUUCGUGCCAGCCGCCGCGGUAA